rnacentral:rRNA from 1 species
UACAGAGGGUGCGAGCGUUAAUCGGAAUUACUGGGCGUAAAGCGCACGUAGUCGGCUUUGCAAGUCGGGUGUGAAAUCCCCGGGCUCAACCUGGGAACUGCGCUUGAGACUGGCAGGCUCGAGUUCGGGAGAGGAUGGUGGAAUUCCCAGUGUAGAGGUGAAAUUCGUAGAUAUUGGGAAGAACACCGAUGGCGAAGGCAGCCAUCUGGACCGACACUGACGCUGAGGCGCGAAAGCGUGGGGAGCAAACAGG